AACGAACGCUGGCGGCAGGCUUAACUCAUGCAAGUCGAACGCCCCGCAAGGGGAGUGGCAGACGGGUGAGUAACGCGUGGGAAUCUACCCAGAUCUUCGGAACAACACAGGGAAACUUGUGCUAAUACCGGAUACGCCCUACGGGGGAAAGAUUUAUCGGAUUUGGAUGAGCCCGCGUUGGAUUAGCUAGUUGGUGAGGUAAUGGCUCACCAAGGCGACGAUCCAUAGCUGGUCUGAGAGGAUGAUCAGCCACACUGGGACUGAGACACGGCCCAGACUCCUACGGGAGGCAGCAGUGGGGAAUAUUGGACAAUGGGCGAAAGCCUGAUCCAGCCAUGCCGCGUGAGUGAUGAAGGCCUUAGGGUUGUAAAGCUCUUUUAGUGGGGAAGAUAAUGACGGUACCCACAGAAAAAGCCCCGGCUAACUUCGUGCCAGCAGCCGCAGUAA
rnacentral:rRNA from 1 species